CAUCUGUUAUAUCGGAUAUCAAAUUAUCUACACUUGUACUUAAGAUGUAAUGUAGCAUACUAUAUUUUCUUUUGUUUGCUUGGUGAGGAUUCAUCCAGACCUGAUCACAUGAUUAUUUGGUGAUCGGUUGACAUGGUAUAUUUGUUUAUACCUGCCAGGGGGGUGCAAAACUGGAUGGUGGCUCUGUUGUUCUCGGUGAUGAUCUUGCUGCUACCUCUAGUAAAUCAACUGAUGACCUGGCGGCAGAAGGAGACGGCUCCAAUGUGGCUAAAAGGCUCAAGCUGUAGUUCAGGCGGCAUUGGAGAGCCUAUUCUUUUGGAUCACACUGUUGGUUAUGUGCGUGCUCGAAGUGAUCACCUAGCGAAUGGACAUCGCGACGCGGGUUAGACGGU